AGGGAGAGAAAGAAGCUGACCCGUAAAUUCGACGCUUGUUUAUAUCAAUUGAGAGACAAAACUUCUAGACAAAGCUUCUGAUGGUUUAAAGGGAAAGAAGCCAUAGAGAGAGGGAGGGAGGGAGACACAGAGACCCGUAAAUUCGACGCUUGUCUAUAUCAAUUGAGAGACAAAGCUUCUGAUGAUUUAAAGGGGAAAGAGCCAGAGAGGGAGGUAGGGAGAGAGAGGGGGAAAGAGAGAGAGACAGAGAGGCGCUUGUCUAUAGACAAAGCUUCUGAUGGCGAACCAAUGCUUUGUUCCUGUUGCUGUGUCCAUCUCAGUUGGGAGAGAGAGUCCUAAUAGGUGUUCGGAGUGAGAGUCCUGGCAGUAGAC
rnacentral:lncRNA from 1 species